AAAGGAAACGCAGAACAAUGUGGAUUCUGCUGCUGGAAGGGCACACUGGAUUUCCAUCUGUGAAUGAACUAAUGACACCUACUUACAGGCAGUAUUGUGAAGAUUAAUGAAUUGACAUUAUUGAAGUAUCCUCAGGUGGAAGUCCUGAUCUCUGUGUUCACCCUGCUGGCUGCUGCCUCAGAAGCCUUUGGAAUUAGAUGUUCUAAUGAGUGCUGGGCCAUCACUGGGACAUGCUGGAGCUCUAGCUGGGGACAUGGCUUCCAGAAGAAGUAAGAGGUUCCAGUUGCAGCCCAGAGUGCCAAGGCCAGUUCUCAGCUGCUGGUGGUUUAUGUUGGCUGGUUGUUAUCAGUUCCUCCUCAAGGUAGCUGCUAAUUACAGUACAUAGCACAACCAUCUCUUCAGAGCUACACUGAUUCGGUACUUCCCUGCUCAAUCAACAGCAGCUUCGGAGAUGAAUAGCUACAUGGCUUUGUACUAGGAGACACACCCAUCACUCCAGGACUGCUUUCGUGGUGUCAACAGCCUGUGCUGAGUACCAGCAGCACCCAGGGAUGUUCUUCUGUACAGCUGGGAAAAUGCACACCACUUUGUGCAAAAUAAACAUGUCUUGCAUGCUGAGUUG